rnacentral:lncRNA from 1 species
CUUCACUUCAACCAUCAAUAGUGGUAUCAUGACUUUGAAGCCUGGGAGUCACGAUUUUGGGCUUGGCGUCGCGACACAACACCCCCGAUGUCGCAACAUCCUUGGCACACUACUCCAAGUUGGUUUCUCAUUGAAGUUUUGCUCCCCUAAGGUGAUGAAGACUCAAUGUCGUGACAUCCUAGCAUUAGUUUCGCGACACCGACGUUAGGUGUAGUUUUCC